CUUUCAAAGUUGAACUCAGCCAGUCUCUUAAAUUGCUAAGGUCAGGUGCAGCACUCCCCAAAGAAGUAGAGUUCCAGGCGUUGGUGUAUUUUUCCUAUUGCUUCACACCUGGAACCAGAGGCAUCCAUUACAGCUCCAGGAAGACAUGCAGGUACCAAAUGAAAAACCUGGAAUUUGUGUUCUGAGAACUAUGACACAAGAGAAAACUGGUGGACUGUUACCAGUAACCUCAAAAUUAAAAUAAAAAUAGCCAGCCUCUAUGUUUUGUGGAACGAAAUUUGCAGGUAAUUUUCCAAUUAUUAAAGACAAGAAGGGGGAUUGCUAAGGAUUAAAGUCCUCACACAGCUCCGAUAGAUACAUUUUAAAAGAAACUCUACAAGGGGCGCCUGGGUGGCUCAGUCGGUUACACGUUGGACUUAGGCUCAGGUCCCGACCUUGCAGUUUGGGAGUUCGGGCUCUGUGCCGACAGCCCAGAGCCUGGAGCUUACUUCAGAUUCUACCUCCCUUUCUACCUGCCCCUCCCCUGCUCAAGCUCUGUCUCUCUCUCAGAAAUAAACAUUAAUUUUUUUUUCAAAAACAAAAUAAUAGAUAUUCUACGGAAGGCAAAAAAGACUUUUUCUCAAACAUAUACUCUAGAAAGCUUGAGUAUUUAUAUAUAGCUACCGGCCUGCACUAUGUUAUUAUUCUUGUGGGUUUCCCUCUUUUUAAUGAUGCAUGUGCACUUAGUAUAUUAGCAGGCUUCCCCUUGUUUUUAAAGGGAGAACCCAACAUCCAAAAAUAGAUUGAUUUUAUGCUUAAAUACUGAAGUAAUAGUUCUGGGAAUAAGAGCCUUCAGAGUCUCUUAAGUUUCUUUAUAUCCCUUAUUUUAUUUGCUAAGAAUAUUAUGGAAACUCUGCCAAUACCCUUUGGUAAGAAGCUAAUUAACAAUGAAUGAGUAUAGUCAAUUGAGAUAUUGUUAUGUAAGCAAAUAGAACAAUGCCAGGCUACAUCGUUUAUUAUAAAACAUGCCUCAAUUAAAAUUUCAUGUGAUAUAGUGCACGCAGAUUUUCUAGGAUAAACAGCAAUGUUUUAGAGACUAAAACCCUUUUAUAGUGCUCUACUAAACCCUGAGACAGCAAAUCAAUAGGAUAUUCAAGUCAAGCAAGACAGUUUCAGAGAAGGACAAACUAUUAACCUUAAAUGUGAAUGCAUUUGCAUUUAUAAAUUUAGCUUAAAUCAAUUUGUGUCUAAUCUCCUUGUAAUUAUAUCCUGUUAUUUAGAAAUGAUAAGUAUAUUUUUAAAACUUUUUAAUUGACAUUGUAAUGAUCCAAAUGUAACUCAGAGUGGCCUUUAUUAUAUUCUUAGGGAGAUAAUAUCAAAUCUGCACAUGAUGACUGCAACUUGUUCCAACUACCCGGUAAGUAUCAGUGAUGAAAAUUGCUUAUAAAAUUUUGAGCUCCCUGGAUUCAGCUUUUCAUGCUUGGUUGUCUAAAGACAUUCCCUUCGGUCUUUUAUUCCUUGAGAUAAAAUUCACAUACCAUAACAUUUAUAUCCUUUUAGUGUUUUAGUAUAUCCACGAUGUUGUGCCAUCAUCACUACUGUUUAAUUGCGGAAUGUUUUCAACAUCUCCAAAGAAAGCCCAUACCAGUCGGUGGUCAUUCUCGAUUACCCCUCACCCCAAUCCCUGGUAACCAGAGCUGAUACUCUAUCUCCAUGGAUUUACCAAUUCUGGACAUGGUAUAUACAUGGAAUCAUAGAAUAUGUGGCCUUUUGCCUUUGACUUUUUCAACUUAGCAUAAUGUAUUCAAGGUCAUCCAUGUCGUGGCACCAAUCAUUAGUUUAUUUCUUUAUAUGGCUGAAUAAUGUUCCAUUAUAUGGACAUAUCACAUUUUGUUUAACCAUUCAUCAGUUGAUGAACAUUUGGGUUGUUUGCAUUUUUUUGCUAUUAUGAAUAACUCCACAAUGAAUACUUGUGUACAAGUUGUGGUCAUAUGUCUUCAGUUCUCUUGGAUAUAUAUCUAGAAGUGGAAUUGCUGGGCUCUGUGGUCACUCAAUGCAGAAUUAAGUUUUGUGGGAUCCCUGAAGAAUUUCACUGCAUCUUUUUAGGUUCUCACCAGCGAGGUAUGAGGGUUCCAACUUCUCUACAUCGUCACCAACACUGGUUGUUGUCUGUGUUUUUGUUUAUAUCAAUCCUUUCCUUCAUGCCUUUUUUUUAAAGUUUAUUUAUUUAUUCUGAGAGAGACAGAGACAGCGUGAGCAGGGGAGGGGCAGAGAGAGAGGGAGAGAGAGAGAAUUCCAAGCGGGCUCUGCACUGGCAUCGCAGAGCCCCAUGCGGGGCUUGAACUCACAAAACCACAACAUCAUGACCUGAGCUGAAACCAAGAGUUGGAUGCUUAUCCAGCUGAGCCACCCAGGCACCCCUUUUUCUUCAUUCUUAAAUAAAAAAUCCAAUUAAUCCUUAGAAUACCUUUUUAUAUUGACACUGACUAUCCUAAAUAACUCAGCGAUUAAAGCUUUUCUUUCAACUACUGUUUUCAUCAUUUUGAGCAGAAAUAUUUUUGAUAUCUGUGAAAUGGAGAAAAUGCUACACACUUGAAAUGAAUUUGUGGAAAUUUCAUGAGUAUAUUGGUUUCCUAAUGAUGCUGUAACAAAACAAAUUUGGUGAUUUAAACAAGACAAAUUUAUUAUCUUAUCGUUCUAAAGGUGACUAUUCUGACAUGAAACUCACUGGGCUGAAAUCAAGAUGUUGGCAGGGCGGCAUUCCUCUCUGUAGGUCUAUUUCCUUGCUUUUUCAAGUUUCUAAAGACCACCCCCAUUCCUUGACUCAUGGAUUUCUCUCUCUUACCUUCAAAGCCAAGAAGGGCAAGUAGAGUCCUCCACCUGUUUCCAUCUCUUCACUUAGAAAAGAUUCCUCACUUGUAAGGAUGCAGGAUUAGAAUGGACCCACACAGACAACCCAGGAUAAUCUUUCCUUCUCCAGGCCCUUAAACUUUAAAAAAAUUUUUUUAUGUUUAUUUAUUUUUGGGAGAGAAAGAGACAGAGCACAAGCAGGGGAGGGGCAGAAAGAGAAGGGAGACACAGAAUCCGAAGCAGGUUUCAGGCUCUGAGCUGUCAGCACAGAGCCCGACGUGGGGAUUGAACUCACAAACCGUGAGAUCAUGACCUGAGCCCAAGUCAGUCACUUAACUGACUGAGCCACCCACGGGCCCCUCCAGGCCUUAAUUGAACCAUAUCUGCAAAAUACCUUUUACCACGUAAGGUAACGUGUUCAAAGAUUCUAUGAAUUAUGGCAUAGACAUCUUUGUGGGACCAUUGUUUUCCCAUCACAAUGAGACAACGUACGUCUCGUGACAGGUACAGGACUGGCACACAAUGCUGGAUAACCAUCUUUUUUUAAUUGUUUAUAAUAGGUACUAUAUGGUAAAAUGGCAAUGUAGUACAUUUCUACUGUGUCAAGAAGAUGGAUGGCCAAAUCUGAGACAGCUGUACGUAAAGACUUAAAGUUCAUACACUACUGUUACUCCCACAGAAUAAUUCUUGUCAUGGGAUAUUUGGCAGAUGAGUAUCGUGGCAUUAACCCCCGGCCACAACUGCCUCAUCUUUCCUCUGGCCUGGCAGCCAAGACAUCUCAGGGCCAUUUGGAGAUAUUUUGUUUUUGUGAUGUGAUCAUCACAGUCCUUUACCUAAAACUGAGAGGACACUGAAGAGACCUUGAGAGAGGAAAAGAAUAUUGCCAGAAUUCUAAAAAGUGGACCGUUGGUUCUGUCACCUGUGAUGAGUGACGUUUUUCCUUCAUUUAUUCACAUCAGUAUCACUAAUUUCUGGGUCUUCUAAUGCUUGAUAUGUACCCAUAGCUUACUUUUAAAAUGGGGAGAGUGGUCACAAUAGUGUUUAGCGAGCAAAGACAUUAUUAGCUGGAUAGUUGCUAAAAUUCCCUAUGAUGAAGAAAGUCAUUUCCAAUAUCUCUCUUGUGUCUUUGCUACACACACACACACACACACACACCGAUAAUUUCUUCCAAAUACCUGGUUCUAUGGCAAGAGUUCCACUCCCUGACAACUUUGGGGUUUGAAAGAAGAUUGGGUAGCAUUAACAUAGUAAAUGUUCACAUUUCAUAGUAACAUUAAUACAGUAAUUGUCAAUUAUCUUAAAAACAACAACCACUACCACCAUCACAACCACCACAGGAAAUAGACCUCUGUUAAUAAAAUGAAAUAAAUUUCUAGCUCCACAGGGAAACAAAAUGUUGUGUCAUUGGUGGAGACCAGAACCAAAACAAAUCACUUUAUUCAUAAUAACUGGAAAUGUCAUUUUCUCCCUUAGGAUUAGCUUUUCUCUUCUGUAACCAUAAUCACUUUUUGCCUAAAGGAAUUAAUUCUGAAAUUAAGACUAGCUAUUUUGUAUUACUUCUUGUUUCUUUGAUCAAAAAAAGGCAGUUACAGACUUAUUGAGUUAAAAAUAAUUCUUGAUUUUUUUAAAGCAAUUGUUGCCCUGGAUAAGUUAGGAGUUUCAGUCCAAUGCCACCAAAUUUUUAAAUUAAAAAAAUUUUUAAGAUUAUUUAUUUAUUUUGAGAGAAGGGAGAGAGAGAGAGAGAGAGAGAGAUGACAAGUAGGAGGGACAGAGAGGAGAGACAGAAUCCCAAGCGAAUCCCAACUCGAGGCUCGAACUCCUGAAUAUGAGAUCAUGAUCAAGAGUCAGACGUUUAACAGACCACACCACCCAGGUGCCCAAUGCCAUCAAAUUUUUAGUAAAAUCAUUGCAUUGUCAGAUGGCUACAAAAGAAAUAACGUUUUCUGUAAUUUGUGGACAUUCCCUAAAUGUCUCUAAAAGCUUUGCCAAUAUUUGCCAGUUUGAAAAUAUGUUCUAGUAGAAAUUCAGCUAGUGGUAUUUUAAGCAAAUUCCAAUUAGAAACCAUUUAGAUGUCAGUGAUCAAAACAUAGGAGGGAGAGUUGGUAUCUAACGAUGAUAACGCACAUUUAUAGAAUACCUUUCCCUGAGAAGAUCAGAACAGGUAAGCACAAGUACUUGUAUCUGUUUAACACUGAUGCUUGGAGUUGGGCACAUACGCUGACUUUUCCAGGUGGGGCUAAGGAGGAGAGCUGUGUAUUUACCUCGCACAUCUGACAGCACAGGAACAGGCUUGUUUUAUUUAGUGGGGAAAGAGCGGAUAGCCAGGGGUGAAUUGACACAGAGGAACAGAUAGCCUCGGUUCAAGCACUGUUUGCCUCUGACAUCAGUGUUACUGUUGACAUCUUCUGUCCUUUGUUGUCAAUCCCUAAACUAAAUUACGGAUUUUGUUCCCGCAUAAAAAGAAAGCUGUAAUUCAUUGCUUCAUGUACGUUAGCAAAAAUGCUUCUGCCAAAGGCUGUUUCUGAAAUACUGCAAUAAAAAGACCUAAAUCAAUAGAGGAGAAAAAUGAAAAUGAUAAAUAAUAAUAAAUGAGAGAAAAAUUUUAAGAUGUCUGACAAUGCCAUAUUCUAUUUAAGGGUCAAGCUAAAAGUAUGUUGACGCAGACCUUAGAAGGGUCUGAAUGCGCUCCGGUGCCCACGACUUUUUCAGCUGGUGAUUUGCAACAUACUUUUAAUAAAGAAUGUGGGUAAAAUAAGAGAAAAGAAAGCAAGUAAAAAACACCUACACUCCUAGUACCUGCACAAACUACCGUUCAUCUUUUGGUGUAUUUAUUUUCUUUUUCUGCAAAUUAUUAUACUUUUGUUUGUAAAUUUUUAUUUUGAGAUGAUUUCAAAUUCAUGGAAUAUUUUCAAGAUGCGUACUAUAAAUUCCCUGAUACUUUUAACCCAGAUGUAACAACUGUUCAGUUUUGCCUCCUUAGCUGUAUCAGGUUCUUUCUCUUCACCUGUGUGCACGUGCACACACACACACAUACGCACACACACAUCUACCUGUGUCUGCGUAAAUAUUUGUAACCAGAUACAUAUGAAAAAAAUUUUCCUGAAUCAUUUGGGGGUAUUAUAUCUUUACUCCUAAAUACCUCUAAAAAUCAAGAACUUGAACAUUGUUGUAAUACGUUAUCUAAUCCACGUAUUUAACUUUUUCUAGUUGUCCCUGUAAGGUAUCUUAUAAUUUUGUCCCCUUAGUACAGCAUCUAAUCUAGAUCACAUGUUAUGUUUACUUAUUAUGUCUGGUUGGCUCUAUUAAUCUGAAGAAGAUUCUCAGCCUUUCUGUUUUAUUGACCUUGACAUUUUUAAGAGACAAGAUAAUACUAAUACUAAUAAUACUACAAAUAAUAAACUCAUAGAAUGUGCUGCACCUUAAGUGUUUCUGGUGUUUCCUCAUGAUGCAAUAUGAGUUCUAUAUAUUUUUUGAAGAAUACCAUAGAUAUGGUGAUGUGCUCUUUUCACUUAAUGAGGCACAUAUUGACUACUUGCUCCAACAUGAGUAACAUGAACUUUGGUCAUGGGGUUAGGCAGUGCCUGCCAAGAAUCUCCACUGUAAUUUAAUUAUGUUUCUAUUUAUAAUGAAGCUGUAAUUUGUGGAUGGGCACUUUGAGACUAUGUAAAUACCCUAUUCCUCAUCAAACUUUAGCCAUUAAAUUUAGCAAACACUAUUGAUUUCUAACUCUAUCAUUUCUUCCAUAUUUUAUUAGCUGGCAUUGAUAGAGAUUUCUUAUCUCCUCUAUUAUUGAUUCAUGUAUGUAUGUGUGUAUGUAUGUGUGUGUGUAUGUAUAUUCACAUAGAUUCAUGGAUUCCUAUUUUAUUCAGUUACAAUUCAUUGUUAUUGUAUUAUUAUUAUUAUUAUGCUCAAGUGGCCCUAAUUUUGGCCGGUGGGAACCUUUAUAAUCUUUUUGACUCAGCUCCAAGAUUUAUUGAGCAUUCUUUUAAUUUAUGGUGAAAAUGUUCCAGACUCAUGUUGGAUUUUCUCUGCCCCAGGCUUGGCAUUAGUAUUUACUUCAAUGAGUCCUGAUUUCUUUACAGUAGAGAAUGGCAUUUAGAAACUAAAGUCUAGGGAAUAAUGUACUCAUUGCUACUGGGGUGUCAUUUCCUCUAGGUCCGCCCAGUAGACAGGGCUAGAAAAUAUACACAUGGACACACACACAUACACACACACCUCUCUAUAUAAACAGAUAUACCUAUGUAUGCCUCUAUUUAUCUGUUUAGUAGUAGACAGUAAUAGUUAUAUGAAUUGAUACUAAUUCCAAUACCACACCACAGGAGCGUGUUAGUCUUUCCCCUUUCCAUACUUGUAACUCCCUUUUCCAAAAGUGAAAAACAACUGGCUCUCAUUAUCCUUUAUAUAUAUUACAUUAAAUAUUGUAUAUAUACUACGCAUUCACAUAUACAUUAUAAAUAUAAUGGUGGCCGGGCACAUGGGUCAUGUUCCCAUCAUCUCAGAGGGGCACUGGAUAGUUGUAGGUUAUGGCCGGGUUGGUGAUGGUGGCUACUUGGCGAAGGGGCUCGGUGGGGGCAGAAUUCUAGCAUGGCCUCUGAUGGUGCAGGACACAUCCAGCACUGGCUCCCUGGUCCAGGUAUUCUUGUGGAAAUCAUGAGUCCCCACCGGUCAUCUUGAUCUGAUGGCAGUGGCAGCCAUCAUCAUCACCACUAAUCCAGAGUUUAUCAACCUCUCUCAAAAAAAAAGCCCAUACUCAUUAGUAGUCACUCCCCAUUAUCCCUCGUCUAGCCCCCGGAAAAAUGAAUCUUCAGGUAAAUAAUAGGUAAAGAAUAUACCAGCCGCACUUCCAAUUACUGCAGAAACAAUGGAAAGAAAGAAAGAAUGGUAUUCAUGUCCUGGAAAAUUCAGAGGCUUCUUGAAGUGCGCAUGAUAGGGGAAAGGGAUCCAGCUGGAUUCAAGUUUCUGCAGCAUCCCAAGCAGCUCCUGUCAAGGAAUCUAAUGAGAGUGAGUUUUCCAAUUGAAAAAAAAAAUAUAAAGACCAGAUGCGAACCUUCCUUCAGGGCAAGUUUCAGAGCUGAAGUAAUUUCAUAGUAGAGGUAGUCACUAUGAAACAGGAAUGAGAAAUCUACUCAUGAGAGAUAAGAGCAGCUGUGAUGGAGCAAAUCUCUGAGUAUUUAAGAAGAUGCAAUGUCUCAACUACUAUUCCUGAGCUGGGGGAUGGGAUGCCUCUAGGGAUUCACAUACGAUGAAUGCCAAGUGCCCAGACGCCCCGAUGGAUUUGGAUUUCCCCACAUGAGGGGAAUGGCUACCCUGCUGCCUGGCCCUUUUCUUAGUGGUUAAGUCUGAAGGAAAAUGGAACAAAAGGAUUGUAAAUAAAUGUUCGGUGGGCACACUGCUUCCCCAAGACUGAUGUUUUCCUCCAGGGGGAGGAAGUUCUGCUAGGAUGAAACUCCUGUGCUUCCUCCGUCCCCAAAUUUAAGCAUCCCAGGGUUGGAGGAAGGCAUCGGUUGGUGAAUUUUGGACCAGGAAACUAGAACGCAUAUUUUGUUGUUCUUUGAGAGCAGGCUUAGCCAUAAAACAAGAAUUUUGCAAUGCUCUUUCAUGCUGAGCGAAGGGAGUAUUUUAGAAAGAAUUUCUGCCUGGUGUAGUGACCCAUACUGCCUCAGUGAAUAUUUGGAGCCCCUUUUCUUAAAAAUAUAAGCCGAAUUCUUCACAGUUCAUCAACAUUAGGUGACUCUUUUCUUCUCAUUUCCCAACCGGUUUAGGACUUUUGUAGACAAGAGUUUAUUACUGGGCCACCCCAACACCUAUUUUCACUCAUUAGUAUCCCGGUGUUGAACCUUCUGAGGUCCAAGUUACUGCGAUAUCUCUAACUUCAGCUCAUUUACUUCUCAUUUUUCAGAAUUAUGCCAAGGAUUCCUAUCAUAUUGUCUUUUUUUUUUUUUUUUUUUUUUUUUUGGGACAGAGAGAGACAGAGCAUGAACGGGGGAGGGGCAGAGAGAGAGGGAGACACAGAAUCGGAAACAGGCUCCAGGCUCUGAGCCAUCAGCCCAGAGCCUGACGCGGGGCUCGAACUCACGGACUGCGAGAUCGUGACCUGGCUGAAGUCGGACGCUCAACCGACUGUGCCACCCAGGCGCCCCUCUAAAACAUUUUUUAUUAAACGUUUCCUGCUUUUAUUUUCCCAUGUCAAAGUAUAAGGGGCAUCUUCGCUGUCCUUAAAAUUUAUCUUGUGUUUUAUUGUGAGAACGAACCAUAACUAGUUUCUUUAAUUUCCUACCGAUGAUCAUUUAGAUCAUUUGUAAAUUAUGGCUUUUUCCUCCAUAGUAAACAAUUCUGCAAUCACUACCCUGGUAUAUAUGUCUUUGCUUUGAUUAAAUUUUUCAAAGCAGGAACAUUAAAUAUAAUGGAGAGGUAGUUGCUAUUGAUUUAAGCUUGUGCUAUACAAAUAAGGAAUAGGCAAUGUAUCAAAUGACAGAGGAAUCAGAGCAGUACAAAUCGUUUUAUCUUUAGACUUGCCCUUACAGGGAUUAGAUCAUAAGACAAUAGUCCAAUCAGAGAACUAAGAGAUAUCUCUGUGAUCAUCAAUCAAGAGAAUACAGGUAAUGAUUAUAAUGAUAACUUGUAUUAAAAGAUUAUGACAUCCCAGUCAGUGAAUUAAACCAUCUUACACAAUUCCUACAAAGUCCUUAUUAGGAAGAUGAUGUUAUUAUGCCCACUUUUUCAAUGAAGCAUUUAAGGUAGAUUAAUUUGACCUAGGUCACAUAGUGAAAUCUAUCUUCAGGGCAAGAAUUCGGUUUGCAUUAUGUAUAAUGGCACUCACAAGCCAAUUAAUUCUAUCAAAAUAGUCUGUGAGAAAGUCCCUUACUCAUAUAUAAGUACAGAAAGGCUGAAAUAUAAGUGAAGUGGGAGAAAAUCUAUAGAAUAACUGAAUCACUACUCAAUCUUUCUUUAAUUAUGCAUAUAUAAAUAUUAUCUAACGAUGGCUAUUUUUUACUAGCUCAGAUAUUAUUUUGGCCACUUAAACAAUUUUGCAAUGAACCAAUAGUGACUGAAGUCAUUUUUAAAAAGCAACGUGCAAAAAAAAUAGUAAGGAUAAAUAAAUAAAAAGCAAAGUGCAUAUAUUGUAAACUUCCACAACAACCACUUGGGUAUUAAGCCAAAACAUUUGAUUCACUGUUGUUGAUUUCCUUCUUUUCUCUUACCUCCCACAACCAUAGCGUCAAGUUUGAUUGAUUUUUCACUUCAAAAGGAUCACUUACAUCUGUCCCUUCUUUUCUGCUAUGAUUAAGAAUGCUGUCUUGAUGACAGAAGAUGAAGAAUGUUCUCCCACUCUGGAGUGGGACCCAUGGAAACCAGAUAAUUUGCACUGAGGUAGAAAUGAGGUAAAGGACGUGUUUCCUAAAUAAGGAACACGAAUAGUUGAAGUUGGUAGAGAGAGAUUUUAGGGAAGAUCAGAAAGAAGCUUCUCUGAGCAACUUCUCAGGUCCCUCCCCCUGGUUCCCAGGCAAAGAGUCAAAAAGUAAUAGGCAUAUGUGUGUAUGAAAUUAACAUGUUUCAAAUUCUCAAUACUUGUUACCAUUAACAUAUUUAUGCGGACUCUUUAUAACAAUACAUCUGAUUCAGGGCCCUUUGAAGAGAAUUUGUCCUGGAAUACAAAUAAAAAGUUGGCUCUCUGUCUCCACAUAUAUCUAUAUAUUUCUAUCUAUCUAUCUAUCUAUCUACGUAUCUAUCAUCUAUCUAUCUACUUAUCUAUCAUCUAGUUAUCUUUUGUUGGGCUUUUUGUUGUUCUAUUUGUUUGAUGCUGCUAUAGUGAUACAUAUGUUUCUACUUUGAGCUGCAAUGUUUUUGGAGCUAAGGAAUAGGGGGUAACAUCACAGAACUGGUAAGAGCAAAGUAAAUGAUCACACUUAUUCUUUGGCUCAUUUCCAUCAUUCAAGCAAGGAAAGCAAGCCCUUUAAAGGAAGAGAAGCAAAAACAUUAUGACUAGAGGAAACUUUCCAUGACUCUCUUCUUAUCGGCCAUGUUUUAUCUGUUGGCUGUUUAUAUUUCUACCCCUUGUGGCAUCAGCAAUCUGCAGCUUGGGGAAAUGAAUGUUUUUAAAAUGCUUUUGAGGCUCCUCAAACUUGAUUUUCCAUGUGGAAAUGUAGACAGAUUUAUCAAGGAAGGACAAAUGAAUACCAGUACCAAAGUAAUAAUAACAGUAACCUCCGAAUUGAUUGUUGGGAAUGACUCCUUAACUUUGGAUUUUCCUGUGGUCGGAGAUGUGAUCUUCUCCAGUGUGUGGACCUUCUCUGACUUGCGGUGGCUACAUCUGGCAUUCCAUUUUGUGUGCCAGCUAAAUUCUCUUCCAGGAGCUUAGGAAUGCUUGUUAGGAGAGUAUGCCUAGGAGUAGCAGAAAAGAAGAGAGACAAAGAAGAUAGAGGGGAAGGUGGAGGAGGAAGAAAAUCUGUGUCUCAAAUAUUCUCAUAACUUUUUUAUUGGGGAAAAAAAUAGUUUCAUUUGAAUUACUUUUCAAAUGAAAAUUUAUCAUUAAAAAACGGACUGUCUCCGGGCGCCUGGGUGGCUCAGUCGGUUAAGCCUCUGAUUUCAGCUCAGGUCAUGAUCUCAUGAUCCAUGAUUUCAAGCCCCAUAUCAGGCUCUGUGCUGACAGCUCGGAGCCUGGAGCCUGCUUCAGAUUCUGUGUGUUCUUCUCUCUCUGCCCCUCCCCCACUCAUGCUUUUUCCCUCCCCCCUUCUUUCUCAAAACUAAAUAAUUUUAAAAAAUGGACUGUCUCAAAUAUGUACAGACAAAGGAAAGGAACGUGAUUUGGUUUUAUUGUUUUUGGCUAAUUUAUCCCGGAAGCAAUUUUUUUUAAUGUUUUUAUUUAGUUUUGAAGGAGAGCGAGAGCAUGAGCAGGGAAGGAGCUGAGAGGGAGACAUAGAAAUUGAAGCAGGCUCCAGGCUCUAAGCUGUCAGCACAAAGCCUGAUGUGGGGCUCGAACUCACGAACUGUGAGAUCAUGACCUGAGCCGAAGUUGGACGCUUAACUGACUGAGCCACCCAGGCUCCCCACCUGGAAGCAAUUUUAAACAUGUGAUGAAUUCCAUUGAUUAUUUAAGAUAUUGUUUUCAUUAGGUAUACGAAAGUACCAUUUAAAUAUCCAGAGUGAGGGGCGCCUGGGUGGCGCAGACGGUUAAGCGUCCGACUUCAGCCAGGUCACGAUCUCGCGGCCCGUGAGUUCGAGCCCCGCGUCGGGCUCUGGGCUGAUGGCUCAGAGCCUGGAGCCUGUUUCCGGUUCUGUGUCUCCCUCUCUCUCUCUGCCCCUCCCCCGUUCAUGCUCUGUCUCUCUCUGUCCCAAAAAUAAAUAAACGUUGAAAAAAAAAAUUUUAUAAAAAAAUAAAAAAUAAAAAAAAAUAAAUAAAUAUCCAGAGUGAGUCUACAGAUCUCUUUUAUUCUGUUUUCCUGUUUUAGUAAGAUGAUACUCGUAAGGGUAUCUAGUACAAAUUUUUUCCUUGAUUUCUCUCCUUCAUUUCCCACAAAGGGUACUCAUUUCCAUUGUCUUUUAUUCUCUUCCUACUGACAUUAAACUUGACUGGAGUUCUGGCAGAAGCAUGCCCAAGGUUAGGAGAUGCUUAGACAAUCCUGCAGCAGCCGCUCUGGGGCAUCCCAGGCAAUCUGUCAUGAGAUAACAAGUCAUUCAACUAGGAACCUAGGGACUUAAUGAGUCUGUCACUAGGAGAGUGUGCUACAAAGUAUAGGGCAUUCCACUUCCACAAAAACCAUAACUUGAUUUAUGGCAAUAAAAUCAAGUACAUGGUAAUCUUUAGAUUGUGUCUCUUCCCUAUAAUGCCUAUUAGGUACCUGUUACCAGCCCAAAUUAGAAUAAAAAGGCUGUAAUUCUGUGUCAUCAUUCUUAGCUGUCUUGUAUAUUAAAAAUGAAGACAGAGCUCAAAAAAAAAAAGCUGUGCCCCCAGGUCUGUUCAUAGUCUUUAAUUGGAGACACUCUUCUGUUUGUGCCCCCCUAAAACCAGGAGGCAUCUUCAGUCUCGGUCAUAUGGCUGAAAGAAUUAAAAAAGAAGAGGCCAACAGAAAUUAAGGAAGAGAAUAAGGUUAUGGGCAAAGCACAGAAGAACACAGAAGGGUAGUUUCUGAUAAUCCCUUAAUUUUGUCUUCAGUUGAAAUGAAGAGAUUUUACUGAAAGAUCUUUUUAACUCAUGUUGUACUCUUAAGAGUUCUGAACCUUUCACCUUCAUUGACUUUGAAAAAGACCCAUUCAUUAAUUUGGGACAUAGUAAGGAGCAGAAUUCUCUAACAAUAUAGGCAUAUGUAUGUACCUAUUGAGUGGCCCAAACCUGGAAUACUGACAAUGCCAAAUGCUGGCAAGGAAAACGAGGAAGUUUAAAUGAGCUCCUUUUAAGCAGAAUAUAUGUGUGUGUGUGUGUGUGCUGAACUUCCUCUUGUUUUCUCCACUGGGCCUUGCUUUACAGACAAGGCAGGCAAAUGUCACCAUGAAUAUAAUGGAAUCAAUCCACUGGACCUAUCUGUCAGGGACAGCUGCUCAUGUCUGAGUUCCAGGCAAGGACCAUACUUAGGAAAGGUCUGUUAUUUUAGAAAACCGCCUAGUGAAACUUGUUUCUGAGGGCAGUGUUUUUGCACUGAAAAAUGAAACUAUAAAUUAAGUUUAGAGUGAGUCAAAGACAUAUGCUUGACCCCAGGCAUAUAUAGUUUGUCAUCUAACACACGUGAACUAUGAAUUUUGGUAUACUUAAAAGCGGUAUAAUUUGAAAUUUUACUUUGUUCCUCAAAUGUUACAGAAUUGGGAGAUUAGUGAUCUUGACCAUGUGGCAACUUGUCAGCUGUGCUUGUAGGGUGGUCAGCAUGUAAAGGUGACAUGGCUGGAAUAAUGCAGGCUAUUAUGAAAGGUGGGCAUUGAUUCAAUGGCCACAUCCUGGUUCUCACCCAUUUCCCCAUAGGUCCUGUGAUUAAGUCAGAGUCCACAACAUCAUGGCCAUUAGCAGAGGAUUCUCUGACUGAUUAUUGCUGCCUUUUCAACUUUAAUAGAUUUUUUUUUUACCAUCAAUACCACAGACAUUAUGGGAUCUGCUUGGGGGUAGGAAUGCCUACGUGUUACUAAAUUGGUGGACGACCCUUACAGAGAUGAGUGAGGAAAGAAAAAAACCUCUGGAGUUUGAAAGUGGUUGACAUUUGACCCAAUUGCCUUCGAAGAAUGGCAAAUUUUCCCUUAGGAGAGAGUUUCACUUUUAUUUAGGAUAUCACCUUUUCGAGUCUGAAAAGGUCGUGCCUUAGGGCACUGUGCAGAGAAGGGAAAAAGAGAAACAGAAAAAGAAACAGCUUGCUCAGCAAAAGCAAGAAAUAAUAGUUUUCAGGCUUUGGCUGGUAGGCCAGAGGACUGCAGGAAUCAGGAAUCCAAAAGAGGAGGCCUGGACGAAGGGUCUGUAAACAGUAAUUUUUAACCUGGCUGCACACUAGAAUUAACAAGGGGAACUUUUAGAAAAUACCCAUUUCUCAUUUCCACUCCCCAAAGAUUCUAAUUCCUUGGUGGGGAGGAGGGGGGGUGCUGAGCAACAACGGUUUCAUAAAGUCUCUCCAGAAAUUCUAAUUCUCAGCCGGGGAAAGAAUCUGUGGGAAGAAGGUGACCACGUCCUGGAAUGGAAUUUAUGGCAGAAGAUAAGACAGUAAGAACCCCAAAGAGUGGCCAGAGCAAAAAAGCUUGGAAAUGAGAGCUGGGGGCACCUGGGUGGCUCAGUCGGUUAAGUGUUCGGCUCUUGAUUUCAGCUCAGGUCAUGAUCUUGCAGUUCGGGAGUUCGAGUCCCACAUGGGGAUCCGUGGUGGCAACAUAAAGCCUGCUUGGGAUUCUCCCUCUCCCUCUUUCUUUGCCUCUCCCUCACUCAUGUUCUGUCUCUCUCAAAAAAACAAAAAACAAAAAACAAACAUUAAAAAAAUGAAAAGAAGAACUGGAUAAUAUUUAAUCUUAAAAUUAUUUGUUCUCCUAGGUGUUCUAUGCUGCCCCUGUGCUAAUACUCUAUCUUUGGUGAAAUGUACAUGCACAAUCUUGUACUGAUGAGGUUUUAGGGAAUGGGAAUGAGAGUCCAGUUCUGGUCAGAACCGGUACCAAAAAAGAGAAGCAACUCUGAGAGCUGAAACAAGAGUUCUGCAGAGAUCAAUCACAGAACAAGAGCUAAUUAGAAGACGGGAUGGUGUAGGAUACACUUCAGAAAUCUCUGGGAUUCGGGGUUUCCCACCAUAUGUGGCAUGGAAUCUUAGGACUCAUUAUUUAGAAAUAUUAUCCCAAACAGAGGGACGAGGUAGAGUUAACCUUUUAAUAGUAUCAAGAGUCAAUUUGAGUUUAAUAAGUGUUUAAUGUGCUCGUUAGAUGUUAGCAACCAUUUUGACUAGUCCUUGUUUGAAGCAUCUUGACUAAUCCUUGUUGGAAUCCAGAUCUCAUCCCUUUUAAUAGGUGUGCGACUUAGAAAUUUACUUAUUUUUUCUUGAGUAACAUGGGGAUAAGUGGUGCAGUUUUGAAGUGUAGGCAUGUCUGCGGGGCAAGCAUGUUUCGGAAAUUAAAAUUUAGGCCAUCACUUUUCCUUUUAGAAAUUUAUCUUGAGGGAAUAAGCAUACAGGUAUGCACAGGUAUUUGGAUGAUAUUUUUUAUGGCAACAAAUAAGAAAUAUUUUAAAUAUUCAACAAUAGGAAAUACGUUAAAUUAAAUGUAGGGCAACCAUAUAAUGAAAUGCUCUGUAUUUAUUAUGAAUGACUACACAUGUUUAUAUUUACUGACAAAAUGUCCGUAUUGUUUUCCAUAUUACAGUUAUGUGAAAAAAGUGUGUGAAAUAGUCCAGUUCUCUGUGUGUGUGUGUGUGUGUGUGUGCACAUGUCUGUAUGUAUGGGCAAGUUCCUAGAACAAUGUCUGGACGGAUACAUACAGACAUGGAAGUCUAAUCAUUUUGUCAGUUUUAUAUCAUCUUUCUUUUUAAAAUGUAAUAGGCUGUUUAAGGCAGCAGAACAACAAUCUUGCAACAAAACCAUUCACACACACUUGUAACACAAAGAUAGACAGUGUGUUUUUUGAGAAGGUGUGAUUGUUGGGGCGCCUGGGUGGCUCAGUCGGUUAAGCAUCCAACUUCGGCUCAAGUCAUGAUCUCACGGUUCAUGAGUUCGAGCCCCACGUCGGGCUCUGUGCUGACCACUCAGAGCCUGAAGCCUGUUUCGGAUUCUGUGUCUCCCUCUCUCUCUGACCCUCCCCGUUCAUGCUCUGUCUCUCUCUGUCUCAAAAAUAAAUAAACGUUUAAAAAAAUUAAAAAAAAAGAAAAUGUUUGCAGUGUCUAAAACUGACAACAGUUAUUGCAUAUAUAUUAUCUUUUGUUUCAUAAAUAAACUAUUAAAAAUCCUAAUUCGGGGUGCCUGGGUGGCUCAGUCGGUUAAGCAUCUGACUUCAGCUCAGGUCAUGAUCUCGCGGUCCGUGAAUUCAAGCCCUGCGUCGGGCUCUGUGCUGACAGCUCAGAGCCUGGAGUCUGUUUCGGAUUCUGUGUCUCCGUCUCUCUCUGGCCCUCCCCCCAUUCAUGCUCUGUCUCUCUCUGUCUCAAAAAUAAAUAAAUGUUAAAAAAAUUUUAAAAAAACUGAGAACAAACUGAGGGUUGAUGGGAGGUGGGAGGGAGUGGAGGGUGGGUGAUGGGUAUUGAGGAGGGCACCUGUUGGGAUGAGCACUGGGUGUUGUAUAGAAACCAAUUAGACAAUAAAUUUCAUGUAAAAAAAACAUAGAAGCAAUAAUGUUGACUUAGCUUAUGGGGUUUAAGGGUGUGCUAACAAACUAUAUUUCACCUAUAAAGUUUAAAUAAGUAGAUACUACUUAAGUAGUUCAAAUAGUGUUUGUUUGCAUUUCUUUUUGUCUGGAAAAAUCAUGUAAGAAUUUUAUUUUCACUGUACUGAAAGAGAGAUGGUAAAAUACCUUCCAAAACAUCCUAACAUUAUCCCAUAAAUAAUAUAUUGUCAUGUUGUAUCCCAAUGAUAGAAUUUUCCAGAGGCAUUAUAAGAGUUGCUGUCAUGAUCACAAUGCUCUCAGGCACUCAAUAAUUCACGAUCGCAGGUGCUGCAUACCCUGUAUGUGAGACCUGUGUGCUCUUUUUGGGACUGAGCUCCACAUGUACUCACUGAAGAACCAGCUUAAUAAGAGCAAACAAAGCCUCUCUGUGCUUGUCACGUGGUUCCCACAUACUCUGCAAAUGCAAGGGGGAGAGAGUUGGGAGACACGGUGUCUCUCUUAACUGCAUGCACGGUUAAGACUGAAGAGGCAUGAAACUCAGAGAAGGGAGCUCGCUGUUCCCCCAUCUUCAAGGGGUUCCCUUCCGAGGCCUGGAUCCCAAACGGAGGCUUUGCAAACACUGGCCACUUUUUUUUCAGAACAGCCUCUCUGGGCAGGAGGCCCACUGCCUGAUUAAUCCUGCAUUCCUCAAAACAGCAGGCAACCAGAAAAACAUUCCCUGUGGAAUUUGAGCUCACCUGCCCUCUGGGGGGUCAGAGAGCAGGUAGACUGAGGGCUGUGUAUGGGAGCAUUUGUCCUAAAGUGGAUGACACCCCGAUGUUGCCUUCUAGAAGUUAUCUUGCUUUGAAGUAAACAGUGAAAGCUGCCUAAGGUAAUUUAAAAGAUACCAGUUAAGGAUCUUCAGGUCUGCCUGCAAAUAAUUAUCACAUGAGAAUCUUUUUAAAAACACAGACUUUUAAAACUGCUGAUUUUCAUGGCCUUUGUAAAGCCUUCUUGAGUCAGAAUCCCCUGGGGUGGGGCCCAGAAAUAAUUACUUUAAUAAAAAAGUUCCACUGAUUCUGAUGUACAGUCAGGUUUGGAAAUCAUUUCUUAAGUCUGAGCUAAAUAAACAAAAAAUCAGUAGAAGAUUAACAAACCAAAGGGCAUAGAGGAAACUAAGAGGGGGCGUGAGGAAGAGAAUAGGAAAAAAAAAAUCACCGCUAAAAAAAUAGUGAUGGGAAAGAGUGAGAAACAUCAACAUUUGACAGAAGGUAGUAUUAAACACGGCAGCAAGCCGAGCCAACAGUGGUUUGCGCCGGUCUAGAAGGACGGACAUGGAGAACGAUGUCUCCUCAUCUGUAAGGACUGCAAUUACCCUUGCAUUCAUCAUUUGUACACUAAAGUCAAUAAAUUGUAAUAAGGCUUUGUCACCCAACAAAUGUCUCCUGCUUGGAAAAUCAGUGCUUCUGCCCUGCGCCCCCACUUAUGCUCCAGCAGGAGAGCUGAAGGUGAUCUUGAAACAAUGCUCUAUUCUCCUGAUAUUAUCAUUUAAUUGUAGCUCCCUCACACCCAACCUUCUGAGUUUUUAAUGAAAUAUUUCCUAAAAAUACAUGCCUUUAAUAGUAACAUGUGAAAUGGAAAAGGAGAAAUGUUUCAAAUCCAGAUGAGUAAACACACCAUCGUAGGUCAUGGGACCCCCCCCCAACCUCCCCACCAUGGGGGCUUGGGGGAAGUCAUCAUGUUGAUUCCUAUUGAACCAAAUCUAGUCAACACUUCAGUCUGAAAAUGGUGAGAAAUGGGAAAAAAAAUGGGUUUUUAAGAUAGAAAACAAAAACCAGAAGUGCUCUCAUGUUAAACAUCAAAAUGAGAAACAAUAUAAAUGAAGCUAAAAUUACUUUUAUAAAGAUGAUCAGGCAAUUCACAUAUAAGAAAUAAAAUGGACUAAUUCAACUUUCGAACAUCCAUUUGUGUUGAAAGUUUUGCUUUCUUUCACAUCAAAACUCUAUCUUUGGCUCUAGUGUUGUCCUUGCAAAGAAAUCUGUAUUCAUUUCUUCCUUAAAAUCAAGACCAUCCACCUUUGAGUUUCAUUCAUGGUCUCUAGGACAAGAUAAUAAUGUAGACUAUCCUCGUUAGUAAAACAGGCAAAAUAAUAAUAUCUCCUAUGUGAGAACUGAGUGAAGUAAUGUGUAAAGCAUUUGGAAAAAUAUCUGGCUUUUUGUAAACACUAUGCAAGUGUUUAUAUAUUAUGAAAGUAAGAUUCUUCUAUGGCUUUUUAAGCUCCAUGAACAAUUUUUCCCUCCAUGUUUCCAUAUUUCUUCCGUUGAUUGCCUUCUAGCAAUGCAUCUUAGGUGGCAUAAUAGCUUAUAUAGUAAUAGUUGGCCCAGUGGUGUGUCCGGGGUUGUUCCAGAGAUCAGCAGUCUCUUAUUCCUAAAGUCCCCUGGUGCAUUUAUGACAAAAAGUAUUAAGUAGAAAUCUCGUCAACCUUCAGAACAUUAAAGAUAACAAUGGAAAGUCAAAGGGGAAAAUGAGUUGAGAGGGACCCAAAGGAAACGUGUCCCUACUGAAAGAAUGGCUCCCCUCAGACAAGGUGGAAAGCAUCACAGAAGGGGGAGAAGGUGAGGGGCUUCUCAUUCACAUCAGCCAAAUCAACCCCAUUGCAGGAGAGGGACAGAUACUGCCACGAAACUGCUCUCUGAGCUGUGGGACUCUUUUUAGGCUUCCUCCAUCCUUUAUAUGUGUUUUUGUCUCCUUUACUGUUCUCUACAGACUUCCCUUAAUAUCACCCGUUUGGUAAUAUUACUUUACUAUCUAUAGCACCUGUAGAUUUCUAUUAAAAAAAUUUUUUUUUUACAUUUAUUUAUUUUUGAGAGACAGAGAGAGACAGAGCACAAGGGGGGGGGGAGGGGCAGAGAGAGAAGGAGACACAGCAUCAGAAGCAGGCUCCAGGCUCUGAGAUGUCAGCACAGGGCCCCACGCGGGGCUUGAACUCAACGAACAGUGAUAUCAUGACCUGAGCCAAAGUGGGGCGCUCAACCGACUGAGCCACCCAGGCAUCCCUGAUUUCUUUUUUUUUUUUUUAAUGUUUAUUUAUUUGAGAGAGAGAGAGCAGGGGAGGGGAAUAGAGAGAGGGAGACACAGGCUCCAAAGCAGGCUCCAGGCUCCAGAGCAGUCAGCACAGAGACCCACUUGGGGCUCAAACUCACGAAUCAUGAGAUCGUGACCCGAGAUGCUUAACCAACAGAGACACCCAGAUUUCCCGAUUUCUCUCUUAAACUGUUGCUAUAUGGUCUGACCCCUGGCCUCUGUCCUGUCAUAAUUAAUUGACCUUACUGUUUUGUGGCACCAGAAACACUGGAUGCAGUAUGUUUAGUGAAACUGUGGUCAGAACAUUGAUAAUUAUGUGCCUCCAAUAUAAUGAACACCACGCCUCCUGAUGACACCAGUUGUUUCCAAGUGAUGUGUGCCUUGAUUUUUAAUGUUUUAUCUUUAAAAAAACUUAAUUAUUGGGGCUCGUGGAUGGCUCAGUCAGUUGAGCGUCCGACUUCGGCUCAGGUCACGAUCUCGCGGUUCGUGGGUUCAAGCCCGCAUGGGGCUCUGUGCGGACAUCUCAAAGCCUGGAGCCUGCUUCAGAUUCUGUGCCUCCCUCUCUGUCCCAACCCACUCGCAUUCUGUCUCUGUCUCUCUCAAAAAUAAAUAAACAUUAAAAUUUUUUUUAAUAAAAAAAUUUAAAAAACUAAGUAUUAUUGCCCCCAAAUAAGCUUAAAAAACAAAAGUUUUUGAAAUAGAAUAUUAAAUAUUAGGAUUGGAAAAAAACCUUAAAGAUUAUCUAGUCCAACUGCCAUUUGAUUUUUAAAAUCUUAUCUAUAAUUUCCACAUAAUACGUGAAUUUAAUUAAUCCAGGGUUUCAAUUCCUCCAAUCAUGGGGGACUUAGAACUUACUGAAACAGUUCGUUCUGACUAUUAAAAGUUACAUUAGAAAUGUCUUUCUAAUUCAGAGCUGGAAUGUCUCCUGGUAUUUCUAAAUUACAAAGACACUGGGUAUGUAUGUACAGGUUGUGCACUAUACAAGGGUGCUGCUUGAUAGGACAUUGUUCUGAUCCAACUGUUGUGGGUUUGUCUCUUUACUAAAGUAAUUUGGCCAAUGUAACAAUAUAAAUUAAGAAAGAAAUGCCAUUUAAAAAUUAUUGCAAGGAUACAAUUUGAGCUAACAGCAGUCCUGCUUUAUCAUUUGUAGUCAAAUUGAUAAAAGCCCAUCCCUCCUCUCAUGGUGACCCUUCGCAUAUUUUAUUUUGAUUAGUAGAGUUCCAAGAGCCUGUGGACUCUGUCUCUGAGAGGGACUCAGGUUUUCCGUGUCUAAAGCUCAAGCUACUCGCCGGCCAAUAUAAAAAUAAAGGUAACAAUUGUCAAAGCAUCUACCUACUUAGGACAACAGUGUAAUAUUUUCUUUUCUCCAUCCUUACUGUGAAGUUGCACUGGGAUUGUAAUAUGUCACAAUAUUUUUGAAGAAUUGGAUUAUCAAUAAUACAUUUUAAAUAUAGUAACCUCUUACGAAAUUUCUAAUAUUAUCCAGGUAAAACAUAAAAGCACUUCUUAGAACAUUCCCAUGUUGUCACCUACAGUAUCAUGGAGGUUUCCGUUGUCUGUUAAGAAGAAAUUCAAAAUAGUGCCUUCUGAAAGAUGCUCUUAUCCAAUGUGUGCAUAUCAGUAACAAUUUAAUGUUUAGAUAAACUUAGAUAAACUCAUAUUGUUAAAAAAAGCUGUUAUGAUAUUAAAAUAGAACCUCUCUAUAUCUUGCUUGUGAAUCUCACCCAUCUGGCUUUAAAGACACAAUGAAUAUAGUUGAUCAAUAAAAUUUUAUCUAACAUUUAUAGCAUAAGGGAAGGAGGAUGGGUUAGAAAGUAUGGUCACUAACAAAUAUUUUACUGCACUGUGCCCACCUGUCUUUGGCUAAACCAUUUCCAAGUCUUAUAUUUUCUCUCUAGUAAUCUGUGUCUGACUUUUUUUUUUUUCUAGAAGAGGGCUUACAACUUGUAAAAUCUUUAUGUGUUUAUUAAACAAGAAAAAAUGAUGCAAUUUUUAUUGCAAGAGUUAACUUAGUUCCACAGCAUUGUGAACAUAGCACAUAACUAAAAGUGCAAGUUCACCUCCUUGCCAGGUCAUCCAUCCAAUUUGCCAGAGCCAGUCACAUUGUUUUGUUGAUCUUUUUUUUUUUUUUACAUUUAUUUAUUUAUUUAUUUAUUUAUUUAUUUUUGAGAGACAGAGAGAGACAGCACAAGCGGGGGAGGGACAGAGAAAGGGGGAGACACAGAAUCCGAAGCAGGCUCCAGGCUCUGAGCUGUCAGCACAGAGCCCGACACGGGCUCGAACUCGCAAACUGGGAGAUCAUGACCUGAACCGAAGUCAGACGCUCAACCGACUGAGCCACCCAGGUGUCCCCGUUUAUCUUUAAGUCAUUUUUUUGUACCUAUGUAAGAUCUAUAUUUAAGACUCACUAACAUUUAAAAAAAUUGAAUUCAUUCAGUCAUUCAACAAAAAUAGAAUCUACUCUUUCUAGGCAGUGUUUAUUCUUAUACUUGGGAAUAGACGGAUACUAAAGCAGAGAAGAAAAUAUCAGAUAGUUAUAUAAGGCCAAUAAAGUAAAUAAAAGAGGGCAGUGUGAUGCUGAUGGAUGGGAUGGUAUUUCCUCAGACUGGUGUGUAGGGAAGGCCUCUCUGACCAGCGGCAUGGGGACAGAGUAUUCCAGGACAAUGAAAUAGCCCAUUCAAAUGAGCUUAGGCAAACACACAUUUAGCAAUGACAAGGAACAAAAUCAAGGCCUCGAGUGGACGCAUCAGAGUGAUGAAAGAGAAAAUGGAAGGAAAAAUAAUGUCAGAGAAGUAGUAUCAACAGGGACUUCUAGGUAGGGUGGGGAUCCUGGAUUCUAUUUUUAAGUGUGAUGUGAAGGCAUUGGAGGGUGUUAAGAAGGGAGAUCACAUGAUCUUAUUUUCACAAUUUUUAUUGAAGUGUAACUGACAUACACUGUCCUAUUAGUUUCAGGUGUACAUCAUAGUGAUUUGAUGUUUUUAUACGCUACGAAAUGAUCCCCCAGUAAGUCGAGUUACCAUCAGUCACCAAAGUUAUUACAAUAUUAUUGAAUAUUGAAUAUUGAAUAUUGAAAUGUAUUCCUUGAGCUGUUAUGUUGCAUCUGCAUGACUUACUGGUUUUAUAACUGGAAGUUUAAAAUGAUCACUCUGGCCACGAUGUGGAGAGUGGAUUGUAGAUGGAAGUAGAAGUCCAUUGGGAUUUACCGUGGUAGCAAAAUGGCGGUGGUGCUUGGACUGUGAACAGCGGAUAGGUAAGAGUACAGGAAGGGAGAUGUGACAUGAGGGGGAGAUGGGCUUCUGGACAGUUGUUCAGAUAGAAUCAGACAGAACUGGUAUAUGUUUUAUGGUAAGAGCACUGGGGUAUGGGUGAGAUGAGGGAAAGAGUAGAAUAUUUUAAGGAUAAAUCUUAGGAUGGUGGCUUGGGCAAAUAAGAAAUGGUGCAUUUUAUUGAGAUCAAAGAUUAGGAAAGAGGCACAUUUAGCCAUGUUAAAUUGAAGCCGCCUCUUAGAAACGCAAGUGAAAAUUCAAGUUUGUGGUUGGAUAUAACAACUGGAGGUUAGGGAAAUUCAGAGAGUAUGGGUUAGAGGCAUAACUUAGUCAACACCAUUAUCUGUACUUAAAACCAAGGGUGUGGCUAAGGAAUCCUACCAUAUAUUUUAGUUUUAUUUCAGUCUCUUAAUUUUUGCUUUAUAUUUUGUAAUUUCUUUCCUCUUCAUCUCUUCUUAUUUGCUGGUUUUGGGGGAAGUUGAAUCAAGAAUUUAUUCUUGACGUUUCUGUCGUUUUGACAUAUUUUCAUCUAUAAAUAAGGCAUAUAUGUGGUAAAAGAAGUGUGUUUCUAGAAGUACAAAUGUACGUAGAGGGAAAGGCAAGCCCCUUUGCCUAACUCUUCCCGCUUGACCCUCACUUCCUCUCAGGAGAAGCAAUACAGUCUCCAGCUGUUUUACACAAAUGGGAGUUGAUUAAAAAUAUUCUAUUAUACCUUGUUUAUUCACUGGAAAGUAGCUGUUGACAAAAUUUCUGCUUGGUGUUCUACUAUAUGGUGUAUCAUGAUUUACUUAACUGCUCUACUGAAGAGCAUUUAGGUUCCUUUUUAUUCUUUUGCUCUUCUCCCUUAUUUCCUGCAUGUUACUCAUUUUUCUGCUUCUUUACUGUCUGUUUACCUCUAGCUACUACUCCAUUUUUGGGUUCCAUUAUAUAGCAAAUUCCUUAGGUGUGUUAAUCACGAUCACUAAAAUCCUUUUCAUUUUCUCUGUCUUAUUACAGGCAACAUCUUCGUUGUUCAUUUCUGGAACGAUGGCAUCGCUACCUUGAAUUCUUUCCUGAUCUCUGCCUCUUCAGUUGCCUUUCGCUUGCUGUGUUCCUUUUCUCCGGUUUGCUUUACGUCAAUGCUGACAACUCCCUUUUAUAAUCCUUCGUGAACUUUCUCUGUGUGUGACCGGCGG
rnacentral:lncRNA from 1 species